rnacentral:rRNA from 1 species
AUUGAACGCUGGCGGCAGGCCUAACACAUGCAAGUCGAGCGGAUGAAGGGAGCUUGCUCCUGGAUUCAGCGGCGGACGGGUGAGUAAUGCCUAGGAAUCUGCCUGGUAGUGGGGGAUAACGUCCGGAAACGGGCGCUAAUACCGCAUACGUCCUGAGGGAGAAAGUGGGGGAUCUUCGGACCUCACGCUAUCAGAUGAGCCUAGGUCGGAUUAGCUAGUUGGUGGGGUAAAGGCCUACCACGGCGACGAUCCGUAACUGGUCUGAGAGGAUGAUCAGGCACACUGGAACUGAGACACGGUCCAGACUCCUACGGGAGGCAGCAGUGGGGAAUAUUGGACAAUGGGCGAAAGCCUGAUCCAGCCAUGCCGCGUGUGUGAAGAAGGUCUUCGGAUUGUAAAGCACUUUAAGUUGGGAGGAAGGGCAGUAAGUUAAUACCUUGCUGUUUUGACGUUACCAACAGAAUAAGCACCGGCUAACUUCGUG